UUUGUCUUUAUGUUGAAUAUGAUGAUAUUCAGCCGAUCUCUGAUCAGAGCGUUCCAUAUGCCACCACAGGAAAUCAAUGGGUUGGAUUUGAUGACAAAGACAGCCUUGAUACAAAGGUCAGUUACCUAAAGGCUAACAACUUUGGAGGAGCUGUCGUCUAGUCUCUGGACCUGGAUGACACUAGUGGACAGUUCUGUAAACAGGGCAACAACCCUUUCAUCAGCCACCUGCACACUCUCCUGUGUCCAGGUUUUCCUGACCUUACAGCUACAACAGCAGCUCCAACAACAGCCGCUCCUACAACAGCCGUUCCUACAACAGCAGCUCCCACAACAGCCGCUCCUACAACAGCAGCUCCCACAACAGCAGCUCCCACAACAGCCG